GCAGGCCCCAAAACAAAUAUGCAUACUAGAUCGGUGAUAAUGGACGUCAUACUAACCUCCGAAUUAUACACAAGAAACUAAAAUUUAAAAAAACAUACCAGACUAACGAAGGCCAGGGGCUCCUGACUUGGGACAGGCGCAAAAUUGCGGCGGGGUUAAACAUGUUUUUUGAGAUCUCAACCCUACGCCUAUACCUCGAUCUAGCCAAUGAAUAAAAAAAAAACGCACAACAAUACGCACAGGAAAACUCAGUUUAAGAUCUCCGAGUCCGAUGUCAGAAUAUGAAACAAAAGAAAAUAAAAGAAAAAUGACAAUAAUACAUAAAUAUUUAAAGACUACUAGCAGUGACUGACAUACCAGCUCCAGAUCUCAAUUAAUAAACUGAUUGAAAGAUUGUCUUCAUCAUAUGAAUAUCAGGCACAAUCCCUCUUGUUUAGUGCUAUACCAUCAUGAAACAUAUGAGAAGAACAU
rnacentral:lncRNA from 1 species